UACGGAGGGAGCUAGCGUUGUUCGGAAUUACUGGGCGUAAAGCGCGCGUAGGCGGUUACUCAAGUCAGAGGUGAAAGCCCCGGGGCUCAACCCCCGGAACUGCCUUUUGAAACUAGGUAACUAGAAUCUUGGAGAGGUCAGUGGAAUUCCGAGUGUAGAGGUGAAAUUCGUAGAUAUUCGGAAGAACACCAGUGGCGAAGGCGACUGACUGGACAAGUAUUGACGCUGAGGUGCGAAAAGCGUGGGGAGCAAACAGG
rnacentral:rRNA from 1 species